CUACGUACGACGAAAUGUGUCCCCGACAUCAAUUUGUAUAAGAUUCAGAUUUCGUAUAAUUUUACGUAUGUUUUCACCAACACAUAUACACAUUGAUAGCUGUCACACUUUGUAAUUUGUUGUGAUUGCAAGUAUCGUAAAAAUAUACAGUUGAAUUGAAAUUUAUGUUUUCUUGCCAUUUUACCUGAAAAAGAAAAACUUGGAAAAAUGGUUCAAACAUGUUUUAUCAAUGGGUGCAUGAGUAGAAGCAUAAGUGUUCGCAAAUGUUCAUUUUUCCGAUUCCCGAAAAAUCAAAAGGAAGCAAAGGAAUGGCACACACAAAUAAAUCGAUACACUCAGCAAUGUAGUGUACCCAGCAAACACUCAAGAAUUUGUGAAAAUCAUUUCGAACAGGACGAUAUGAAGAGAGACGGAUUGCGAACGAUUUUAAAGGACGGUGCAAUACCAAAGAUUUUUCAGAAUUUUUGUUCAUCUGAAGAGAAUAUGGAGGUGGAAUACCUAGAAUCGGAGAAUGACGAAUGUAUGGAUUACGACGACGUCGUUGAUAAUGUUGAACAACUUCAGUAAGGCGAAGCUUUUAUGAAAGCUUUUAUCAAAUUCAUCAAACUCUCCGUUUCUCUUCUUCUUAGAUC